AUUGAACGCUGGCGGCAGGCCUAACACAUGCAAGUCGAGCGGAACGACGGACGGGUGAGUAAUGCAUAGGAAUCUGCCUGGCAGUGGGGGAUAGAGUACGGAAACGAGCGCUAAUACCUCAUGCAUUCAGAUAAGCAUAGGUGGGAUGAGCUAGUUGGUGGGGUAAAGGCCUACCAAGUCGACGAUCCGUAGCUGGUCUGAGAGGAUGAACAGUCACACUGGAACUGAGACACGGUCCAGACUCCUACGGGAGGCAGCAGUGGGGAAUAUUGCACAAUGGGCGAAAGCCUGAUGCAGCCAGGCCGCGUGUGUGAAGAAGUCCUUCGGAUUGUAAAGCACUUUCAGCUGGGAGGCGUUACCCACAGAAUAAGCACCGGCUAACUUCGUGCCAGCAGCCGCGGUAAUUC
rnacentral:rRNA from 1 species